AGAGUUUGAUCAUGGCUCAGGAUGAACGCUGGCGGCGUGCUUAACACAUGCAAGUCGAACGGAAAGGCCCCUGCUUGCAGGGGUACUCGAGUGGCGAACGGGUGAGUAACACGUGGGUGAUCUACCCUGCACUUCGGGAUAAGCCUGGGAAACUGGGUCUAAUACCGGAUAUUCACGCCCCUUUGAUGUGGGGUGUGGAAAGAUUUAUCGGUGUGGGAUGAGCUUGCGGCCUAUCAGCUUGUUGGUGGGGUAAUGGCCUACCAAGGCGUCGACGGGUAGCCGGCCUGAGAGGGUGUACGGCCACAUUGGGACUGAGAUACGGCCCAGACUCCUACGGGAGGCAGCAGUGGGGAAUAUUGCACAAUGGGCGCAAGCCUGAUGCAGCGACGCCGCGUGGGGGAUGACGGCCUUCGGGUUGUAAACUCCUUUCGCCCACGACGAAGCCCUUCGGGGUGACGGUGGUGGGAUAAGAAGCACCGGCUAACUACGUGCCAGCAGCCGCGGUAAUACGUAGGGUGCGAGCGUUGUCCGGAAUUACUGGGCGUAAAGAGCUCGUAGGUGGUUUGUCGCGUCGUCUGUGAAAGUCCAGCGCUUAACGCUGGGAUUGCAGGCGAUACGGGCUUACUUGAGUGCUGUAGGGGAGACUGGAAUUCCUGGUGUAGCGGUGAAAUGCGCGGAUAUCAGGAGGAACACCAAUGGCGAAGGCAGGUCUCUGGGCAGUCACUGACACUGAGGAGCGAAAGCAUGGGUAGCCAACAGGAUUAGAUACCCUGGUAGUCC
rnacentral:rRNA from 1 species